GAUGAACGCUGGCGGCGUGCUUAACACAUGCAAGUCGAACGGAAAGGCCACAGCUUGCUGUGGUACUCGAGUGGCGAACGGGUGAGUAACACGUGGGUGAUCUGCCCUGUACUUCGGGAUAAGCUUGGGAAACUGGGUCUAAUACCGGAUAGGAAUCACAUGUGGGUGUGUGGUUGGAAAGCUUUUGCGGUAUGGGAUGAGCUCGCGGCCUAUCAGCUUGUUGGUGGGGUAAUGGCCUACCAAGGCGUCGGCGGGUAGCCGGCCUGAGAGGGUGUACGGCCACAUUGGGACUGAGAUACGGCCCAGACUCCUACGGGAGGCAGCAGUGGGGAAUAUUGCACAAUGGGCGCAAGCCUGAUGCAGCGACGCCGCGUGGGGGAUGACGGCCUUCGGGUUGUAAACUCCUUUCGUCAGGGACGAAGCGAAAGUGACGGUACCUGGAUAAGAAGCACCGGCUAACUACGUG
rnacentral:rRNA from 1 species